rnacentral:rRNA from 1 species
AACGAACGCUGGCGGCAGGCCUAACACAUGCAAGUCGAACGCCGUAGCAAUACGGAGUGGCAGACGGGUGAGUAACACGUGGGAACAUACCCUUCGGUUCGGAAUAACUCAGGGAAACUUGAGCUAAUACCGGAUACGUCCGCGAGGAGAAAGAUUCAUCGCCGGAGGAUUGGCCCGCGUCUGAUUAGCUUGUUGGUGAGGUAACGGCUCACCAAGGCGACGAUCAGUAGCUGGUCUGAGAGGAUGAUCAGUCAGACUGGAACUGAGACACGGUCCAGACUCCUACGGGAGGCAGCAGUAAGGAAUCUUCCACAAUGGGCGAAAGCCUGAUGGAGCAACGCCGCGUGCAGGAUGAAGGCC